rnacentral:rRNA from 1 species
UACGUAGGGUGCGAGCGUUAAUCGGAAUUACUGGGCGUAAAGCGUGCGCAGGCGGUUUUGUAAGCCAGAUGUGAAAUCCCCGGGCUUAACCUGGGAAUGGCGAUGGAUACUGGGAGGCUAGAGUGUGAUAGAGGAUGGUGGAAUUCCCGGUGUAGCGGUGAAAUGCGUAGAGAUCGGGAGGAACACCAGUGGCGAAGGCGGCCAUCUGGAUCAACACUGACGCUGAGGCACGAAAGCGUGGGGAGCAAACAGG